CGUGUAGGCGGGAUUGUAAGUCAGAUGUGAAAUACCGAGGCUUAACUUCGGGGCUGCAUUUGAAACUACAGUUCUUGAGUGUCGGAGAGGAAAGCGGAAUUCCUAGUGUAGCGGUGAAAUGCGUAGAUAUUAGGAGGAACACCAGUGGCGAAGGCGGCUUUCUGGACGAUAACUGACGCUGAGGCGCGAAAGCGUGGGGAGCAAACAGGAUUAGAUACCCUGGUAGUCCACGCCGUAAACGAUGGAUACUAGGUGUAGGAGGUAUCGACCCCUCCUGUGCCGCAGUUAACACAAUAAGUAUCCCACCUGGGGAGUACGGCCGCAAGGUUGAA
rnacentral:rRNA from 1 species